UAGGGAAUCUUCCGCAAUGGACGAAAGUCUGACGGAGCAACGCCGCGUGAACGAUGAAGGUUUUCGGAUCGUAAAGUUCUGUUGUUAGGGAAGAACCGCCGGGAUGACCUCCCGGUCUGACGGUACCUAACGAGAAAGCCCCGGCUAACUACGUGCCAGCAGCCGCGGUAAUACGUAGGGGGCAAGCGUUGUCCGGAAUUAUUGGGCGUAAAGCGCGCGCAGGCGGCUUCUUAAGUCAGGUGUGAAAGCCCACGGCUCAACCGUGGAGGGCCACUUGAAACUGGGAGGCUUGAGUGCAGGAGAGGAGAGCGGAAUUCCACGUGUAGCGGUGAAAUGCGUAGAGAUGUGGAGGAACACCCGUGGCGAAGGCGGCUCUCUGGCCUGUAACUGACGCUGAGGCGCGAAAGCGUGGGGAGCGAACAGGAUUAGAUACCCUGGUAGUCCACGCCGUAAACGUUGAGUGCUAGGUGUUGGGGACUCCAAUCCUCAGUGCCGCAGCUAACGCAAUAAGCACUCCGCCUGGGGAGUACGGCCGCAAGGCUGAA
rnacentral:rRNA from 1 species